GUAGUCAUAUGCUUGUCUCAAAGAUUAAGCCAUGCAUGUCUAAGUAUAAGCAAUUUAUACGGUGAAACUGCGAAUGGCUCAUUAAAUCAGUUAUCGUUUAUUUGAUAGUACCUUACUACAUGGAUACCUGUGGUAAUUCUAGAGCUAAUACAUGCUAAAAACCUCGACUUCGGAAGGGGUGUAUUUAUUAGACAAAAAACCAAUGCCCUUCGGGGCUCCUUGGUGAAUCAUAAUAACUUAACGAAUCGCAUGGCCUUGCGCCGGCGAUGGUUCAUUCAAAUUUCUGCCCUAUCAACUUUCGAUGGUAGGAUAGUGGCCUACCAUGGUGGCAACGGGUAACGGGGAAUG
rnacentral:rRNA from 1 species